rnacentral:lncRNA from 1 species
AGAGGGGUUGGGGAGGAGCACGUCUGUGUGUGAAAGGCUGGGCCUGGCCUCGUUUGCCCUCCAGCUCCUUCCCCAGGGCUCCCCACCUCAUCACCCACUGGAGGCAGAUCUUCAGCAGGCUCCUUUGGAGGGCGAGCUUUGAGGUGUAAUCCCCACUCUUCACCUUGGUUCAUCCCUAAAACGGUUGUAGCCUCAGUGUCCUUGUAAGUACAAUGGGGAGAAGGACACCAAUGUUGCAGGACUGUUGAAGGGACAGUGGGAAGCACCUAGGGCCUGGCCUCCACACAGUAGCAGGAGGGAUGGAGGUGUCACAGCUGUGCCAGGCAGCAAGAGCUGCGCCCAGAGAGGCUGUGCCCUCAGGAAGCUGGAGGGCUGGAGGGUGGCAGAGGCCCACCACAAAGCUGUGGGGUAGGGGCGGGGAAAGGGCCAUCAGACCACAGAGCACAGUGGUCCGGGCUCAGAGAGGGGACGCUCCCCUUGUAGGAAAGACAAGAUUUCACCAGGGAGUGCACUCCAGGCCAUGGGCGGCCUAGCAAAACCAGGGAGGUGGAAGAUGUGGGACCUCCUGACAGCAAUAGCGGUCUGGUGUGGUGAGGAUCUGUGGGGGUCAGGCU